rnacentral:rRNA from 1 species
UAGGGAAUAUUGGUCAAUGGGUGCAAGCCUGAACCAGCCAUGCCGCGUGCAGGAAGACGGCCUUCUGGGUUGUAAACUGCUUUUGCCAGGGGAUAAAAUGACCUUGCGAGGUUAAUUGAAGGUACCUGGUGAAUAAGCCACGGCUAACUACGUGCCAGCAGCCGCGGUAAUACGUAGGUGGCAAGCGUUGUCCGGAUUUAUUGGGUUUAAAGGGUGCGUAGGCGGCUUUGUAAGUCAGUGGUGAAAUAUG